rnacentral:siRNA from 1 species
GAGGAGAAAGAAAGAACCUAC